rnacentral:rRNA from 1 species
ACGGGAGGCAGCAGUAGGGAAUAUUGGUCAAUGGAUGGAAGUCUGAACCAGCCAUGCCGCGUGCAGGAAGACGGCCUUCUGGGUUGUAAACUGCUUUUGCCAGGGGCUAAAAAGCUCAUGCGUGAGAAAUUGAAAGUACCUGGUGAAUAAGCCACGGCUAACUACGUGCCAGCAGCCGCGGUAAUACGUAGGUGGCAAGCGUUGUCCGGAUUUAUUGGGUUUAAAGGGUGCGUAGGCGGCUUUGUAAGUCAGUGGUGAAAUAUGGCAGCUCAACUGUCAGGGUGCCAAUGAUACUGCGGAGCUUGAGUACAGAUGAGGUAGGCGGAAUUGACGGUGUAGCGGUGAAAUGCUUAGAUAUCGUCAAGAACACCGAUAGCGAAGGCAGCUUACUAGGCUGUAACUGACGCUGAGGCACGAAAGUGUGGGGAUCAAACAGGAUUAGAUACCCUGGUA